rnacentral:rRNA from 1 species
UACGUAGGGUGCGAGCGUUAAUCGGAAUUACUGGGCGUAAAGCGUGCGCAGGCGGUUUUGUAAGCCAGAUGUGAAAUCCCCGGGCUCAACCUGGGAAUUGCAUUUGUGACUGCACGGCUAGAGUGUGUCAGAGGGGGGUAGAAUUCCGCGUGUAGCAGUGAAAUGGCGUAGAGAUGCGGAGGAACACCGAUGGCGAAGGCAGCCCCCUGGGCUAACACUGACGCUCAGGCACGAAAGCGUGGGGAGCAAACAGG